AAAAAUUAGAGCUGUUCUGAGAUCCUGCACAAAGGACUUGGUCCCAACCAGCAUGGUGCCAGAGAAAGCGAAUGGCUUUCUGCAAAGACAGCUCAGGUAACAAAGAAGUCUUUGUUCCUGCUCUAUGCUUGGGCUGUGCCUUGGAUAUUAGUUGGAAACCCGAUAGCCUGACAUCGCUAGAAGUCUGCGAGUACAAUGUGAGUCGUCUGCAACCGGGAUUAAAUCAGGCCUUUUGUACGGAGAUGCUGAGGGGCCAUGCGAUCUCGGAGCAGCGAUGCUUAUGGAAGGCAGGAGAUUUUUAACCCUUUGUGCCCGUGGAGGGGAGCCGGGAGGGGGGGGGUGUUGCUGCUGUGAGCGUUUGCAGGGGAGGCGGCAGCUGGUGCAGCCAGGGCUGCUGCGUGUGCCCGCUGCUGGCGCGCCCGGGUCAUUCCUGUCGAAAAAGCAAAUGAUGCUUCGCACGGAGCAGAUGAAAUCCAGCCCCGUGCGAAGGCCCAGGUGGAGCUGGGAUCCCCGGCCGGGGGGAUGCACAGGCACCUCCCAGCCCUGCCCAGUGCCCCCGGGGCUGGCCCAGCGCUCCCUGCCCGCGGGGCAGCUCUUCACCAGUCCCUGGGGGCAGAGACGCUUCAGUUUUUUAAACUGGACAAAUCAGGACUAGGAGCCAAGGUUCACCGACGGCUCAGAGACGUGAGUUGUUCUGUGAAAUCUCGUGAAGUAGCAUGAAAAAUACAGGAGUAUCUUUAUUUGCCUGGUGGGUUUGAAUUCUGGGCACCACGUUCUCAAGCGUUCCUCUCCCCCAAGGGAUGUGCAGCCGAGACCGGGAGGUUGGGACCCUCACAGAGGGAGCACCGGGGACAAGAGCGUUACCAAAGACCCCAAGGGCGGGCGGUGGGAAGGCACGGGCAGCGUUCAGUGGGCCCCAAAUGACACCGAAAAGUGGGGGAUGCUCACGUGUGGGAGCUUCUCCAGAGGAGAGGCCAAUCUGGUCCACACUGGGUUUGUUCCUAUGAAGCAGCGACGUCCAAAACCGCAUCCACCAGCCCCCGCUGCCCCCCCCCCCCCCGGCACGGUCCCGCUCUGCCUGGGCAGGAUGUCGCUGCCUUGCAAGCGGCAGAAGGGAAGGACUUGCAAACGCAGCGCGUAAAAUGCCACAGGAUUUCAGGACGUAAAAAGGAAGCACUAAGGUGAACACUCAUGAAGCUAAUGCUUAGGGAAAAUUAAGUCAUCAGGACUUUACAAAAUAGCCUCUGGUUCACAAUAGUUCAAUUUAUAAGAUGAUGAAAAAUGAAUUAACUUUAGUGGUUUGCUGGCAUCGCCCACAGUGAGCUAGACUUUCCAGAUGCUCGAAGAUCGUUCCUGCUCCACCAAGCUUCCACAAAUUCCCACCUGGUUCAAGUUUAAGAAAACAACAGAACAAAGUCAAUCAUACAAACUCCAUCAUAAACUACCAAGGAGAGUUAAAUACUGAUUAUCCAUAUAGAGGGGUACUAUUUUUUAUUUAUGUCUCACUGAGUUAUUUUAGGAAAUAUAAAACUUUUACUGUUCCUGCAUUCAAACUAAUUCUUUUGUGCUGUAUAUAUGAUCUAAUUUCUUUUUUUUCUUCUCCCCACCCCCAGUCAAAUGUGUAACCCUAUGGUUUGUGUUUCAGAGAUGGGAAUUUGAAGGGAAAAAAAAGCCCAAGAGGUCUACUGUAGUACAAGUAUCAUAGGCAGGAAAAUUUGCUUUAGCAUUUCCUAGCGUUUACACUAACCAUACAAUCUCAAUGUUGUAUUAUGUUAGCACUAUCCUGUUUUUUUAGUGAUCUAAAUUAGAAAAAAUUAUAUGUGUUCAACAUGUGAACCUAAGUGCCCCAUACGCUGUAAAGGUUUUCACCUAACUGACAUAAAUGGGACCCAAUAUACUUAACCGAUGCAAAAAAGCUGUUUGAUUGCAGCAAUGGACAAGCAUACCAACACUGUAAAAAUAUCAUGAUCCAUACUGAGGUACCUGGAGAACCAAACAGGAAAAACAUACAGCUUAAGGUUGAAGAGGUGUAAAGAAACUAAACCAGCCAGCCAACCUUGCAGAAGAAACAAACAGGAAAAUCCUUGUGAAGGGCUGAGUUCCGAAAUCGCUGCGGAUCUCUGUGGGAAACGACUGGAACAGUUUUAGUCCCUUAAUUCUUAUUAUUCAGUUAUGCAUUUUUUCAAAUGGGAAACCAUCAAGUGUCUAAAGGAAUUUCGUUCAAACUUUCCAGAAAACAACAUGGUUGGCAAAACUAAGCAUGAAAUAUUUACAUUGGCAAGGCAAACUUUUCAGAAAUUCUGAAUGCAAAUCAGGUUUUUCAGAUGAAAUUGUCUUUAAUCUCAAUUACAAAAUAGUCACCUCCAGACAUCCAAGUAGGGAAGGACAAGAAGCGAUGGAGGAGGUCGGCCCCCCCGACACCUUUUCAGCAUGACGCCCCGUGCCGCCCGGCUCGGGAGGCCAGUGGUGUGACAGCCCCCGUUGCCAGACCCCUGGGACCCGGCUCAGCCCCCCCGGAGCCCGACCCCCCUGCGACACAGCCCUUCGCCCACGGCCGGGGCGGCCGCUGUGGGCACAGCCCGUGCCGGGCCUGGGGACCUGCACCCCUGCCAGCACAGAGCACUUCUGCACCCAAACCUCCUCACCCUUCCCAGGAGCUGGAGCAGGGCCACACAAACAAACAAACACAUCUCCUCCAGAGGAAUCCCUUCCUCAUGAUCCUGCUCCGCAUUCGCUGCAAUGUCGAGCUCAUCUGAUGAUUUUACACGUUUGUCUGAGUCCAUCCAGUCACUGUGUUCGCUCUAAUUUUGAGAGGGAGGGGGAUGCAAUAGUUUCCUUAACUGUUCCGGGCAGAAAUGUUGAAAAUCUUCCCAAUAAUGUCAGCCACCAGACUUAGAGACCUGUCCUUCAAAAUAUUCAAGUUCCUUUCACUGAAUAUCCCUGCUAGGAGCAGAAAUCACUGCCAAGAGAAACCUAUCAGCUUUUUUGCAAAGUAACUGUUGGGUGCCCAUGCUCUAAAGACAGGACUCGUCACUUUGGCUGGUACGUGACGUGUAGCGGCAACCAAAUGCUUUUUUGUAUUGUUCCAGAUGGCUGCGCUACCGAACACUGUAGAGGUUAUUUAGUGGCUAAAAUUUAUAUACCUGAAGCCUGACAUAUUAAUGAAAUGGCAUCUUUAUAGAGCUGGGGGUAUAAAAACCACAGAAAAGAAAGAUGUGGUUUUGCUCGAUGGAAGGGUUUAAAAGGCUUCUUGCUAUUGACUAGCUGGGCUGAAGUUUUUUCUAGCAUACGGGCUUGUUUUGUACAGUUUAUGUGGUGGUUUCUUCGUUAGAUUCUCAGUGGUAAUGAGCCCACACAGUUGAUUGCUGCAGGGAGAAAAAAAUCAUUCUGAAUAGGUUUGCUGAAUAAUUAUGAACUGAGCUGAACUCUUACAUUUGCUUACUAAUUGUAUGGUUCGUGAUGUUUUAUGUAUGAUGCAUUCAUUUUGUUAAAAAGGAAUUUUUUUUUUUUUUGCUGAGCAGCAACUUUUCUCAGUGCAAGUUAAACUGGCACAGUGGAAAGAGCUGAAUUCAAGUCUGAUGAAUUGAUGUUGUUUGAAUUAUUUUUUAAAAAACAUCGGCCCCACCAUUUGGUUUUCAGAGCUUGCAAUAUGAAACCCAAAAUUGUGCUAUUGUCUUGAGAGUCGAAAUAAAUGAAUCCCCUCAA